UACAGAGACCCCAAGCGUUAUCCGGAAUUAUUGGGCGUAAAGGGUGAGUAGGUGGUAUUAUUAGUCUUGUUUUAAAGAUUCUGGGCUCAACCCAGGAUAUGAAUAAGAAACGGUAAAACUAGAAUUUUGGAGAGGUCUGUGGAACUAUAUGUGUAGGGGUAAAAUCCGUUGAUAUAUAUGGGAACACCUAAAGCGAAGGCAGCAGACUGGCCAAACAUUGACACUGAAUCACGAAAGCGUGGGUAGCGAUACGG
rnacentral:rRNA from 1 species